UUUUUUUUUUUUUUCCAGAGAUCUAGUAUGCUGCUACCAAUGUGAAACUUUGCUCUUGUCCAGCACACAACAAACCAUGACACAGGUUCUUUAAUGGAGCGCAGGGUGGAGGCAGAGUGCCCAGAAUGCUAUGUAACCCGGAGCACAUUGUAAAACAACAGUUAGGCCCAAUAUUUUUCAGAGAGAAGAGAAAUGUGGGGCAGCAAGGAGAGCUGCAAACUCUGCCUCUUGCUCUUCAAAGUCUAAGAUUUACAGCCAGUGUUUCUGUCCAAGACUUCCUGGUGGGAGAGUUGUUGGCUGUUUAGUGUGGUUGUUUUGUUUUAAUGACCUUUUCUAUGCUGUUUGUUGGUGUGGACUAAAAGCGGCACAUGAGUGAUGCUGGGUGGUGGCAGACACGCACUAUGCUGGCUUUCAGCACUUUGUCUUGGAGAUGUCAUUCUCUCCUGCUCUAACCUUCACUGCUCUGCCAUUGAUCUUUUCUCAGACACAGUCUCUGCCUUGACCACGAGCCCAGAGAAUAUAAGAGCAUAAUUGAAACAUAUACCCGCUCUGCUUGGGAAGAAAAGGGACACCUGUCCUUCCUCACCACUUGCCCCUCCACUCAAUAUGCUAUUUCUGUUGCAUUUAUUUAUAAAUCUCUGUGGUCAGAGGUUGUCACAUAAAUUUAAGUGCACAUAUGCCACAAUCUGCAUAUUCACAGAACCAUUUUAAGACCACACAAAAAUCUGCAAAAGCACAAUAUAUUUGAAGAUGGGUCACAAGUAAUGCAAAUGUUAAGGCACAUUUUGUAACCAUAAUUAGCUCAAAGAGCAUCUAUAAAGUACAUGUGAGACAGAAGACAUGAGAUUUUUUUUUUAAUUGUAAUAGAAAGAAAUGGAAACUAAUUAUCACAAAGUUUCCACAUUGUGGCAUUCUCAGAGAAUAGUUAAUAUUACUUACAGCUGCUUAUGACCCCUACAAAGAUGAGGCCAAAUGAGUUAAUUCAAUAAGAAAACAGUUUCUGGAGUUCCCAUUGUGGCGCAGCAGAAACGAAUCUGACUAGGAACCAUGAGGUUGAGGGUUUGAUCCCUCACUCAGUGGGUUAAGGAUUCUGCGNNNNNNNNNNNNNNNNNNNNNNNNNNNNNNNNNNNNNNNNNNNNAAAAAAAAAAAAAAAAAAAAAAAAAAAAACCAAAAAAUAAAAAUAAGAAAACAAUUUCAGAAAUAAUAAGCCGUCAUGCCAUCUUAAAAUUGUUACUGUAACUACACAUAAGUAGGAGAUGGUGUGAUUUAGAAGGUGAACUGAGUUCAGGCACUUUCAUCCUCACCAAGCCCUGGAUCCACCUGACUUUGGCCACUGACCAAAGUUUAUUCACAUGAUACCGAGGAAGCUGGGUCAGAAAAUUUUUUUACUUAUAUAUGUAAGAUUAAACACACACACAAAAAAUUAUUUUUCUUACAAAUCAGAACAGCAGAAGUAUUAGUAAAAGCAAUUUCUCGUGGGGAGGGAUAAAGUGGGAGGUUGGAAUCAACAUACAUACACUACUCUAUAUAAAAUAGAUAAGUAACAAGGACCUACUGUGUAGCAGAGGGAAAUCUACUCAAUACUGUGUAACCACCUAUAUGCCAAAAGAAUAUGAAAAAAGAAUGGAUAUGCGUAUGUAUAACUGAAUUCACUUUGCAGUACACCUGAAACUAACAUUAUAAGCAACUAUAUUCUAACUUUAAAAGUAAAAGCCUAAAAGAGUCAGAAGCUGAAAGUUGUUCUAGUAGCCAGACAACAAGUUCUGCAUUAAGGGAUAACUCAUUGCAACACAGAGUAGUAGAUAAUGUGGUAACAAAUAAAUACAUCUGUAACAAUAAACAAAACAAAAUUUUAAAAAUAGAAAUUUUCAAAAGGGUAAACUCUAGCAGUGGCUGGAAGAGAUACUCGAAUGAGACUCCUUUCUGAGCAGUUGCUUCUGAAAACUAGAAGGCUCUGACUUGACCUUAGUUGGAAUAAUGGUCAUAUUGAGGCCAGUGCGCAGAACAACAAAGGGUCAGAAAUCUGAUACGGCUGGAGAUGGCCAAGUAGCUUAGAGGCUCUGGCUGGAAACAGCAGUUGGGUCUUGUCACCUGCUUGGUAAUCACUGCUGCUGCUAUACUAUGAGUUGCUUCAGGAGGAUGGAUAAAAUGCAAGCAAAAGGGAAAAUUUAGUUUUACUGAAUAUUUGCUAAGCAUCCGUGGAGCACUCUACAUAAGGAGGAUAUUGAGAUGAGUUGCUCCUCAUCUACGAAGGAAGGCAGACAUAUAUGUGAGUAGUUACAGAGAGAUGACAAAGUAUGAUAGCAUCACCUGGAUGGAACUAAAGAGAGUGGUGGAAAAUAAACAUGAAAAAAGUUUGAAGACAGAUGACACUGGUAUGGGUUGCUGAGUUAGACUGAUUUUAUGUAAAGCAGGGAAACACUGAAUAUUUAAAAUUUACAAUUAGAGCUCUGUAUUUAUAUACAAUUGAUCUGGCAGUGCCUGCAACAGUUUGGUGGAAGGAAUGAGUAUUUGACAGAGGCAGGACUAGUGAGAGGCUAUAGUUAAUAAUGCAAACCAAGAAAAGAUGGUCAACAGUGGGGUGAGUGAAUAAGGAGAAAAGAGGUGGGCUCCAGAAUCUUUAAGAAGAAAAGCAGUUCCACAAGAACUUGAGUUCUGCAGGGGGUCAUGAAGAGAAAACUUCAAUACCAUUUACACUUCCAGCACAUAAAAGUGACUUGGGACAUUCAAGAAGAGGUAUCCAGUAGGGAACAGAAUCAAGGGGAUGAAACUCAGGAAGAAAGCCUGUUUUGAAGAUCAGGAUUUUGGAACUCUCAGCCAACAGGUGUUGUUUGAAACUUUGGAAAAUCUAAUAAACAAAACACAGUACAUAGCUUUGCCAAUGUCAAGUCCUAAUGGCUAAAGCUGGAAUAACAGCUCCAGGGGCUUAAAUCCCUGCUUUUCCCUUUCCCUGUGUAGUGAAAACUAAAAGAACACAGGCCCCCUUGGGUAGGCAGAACAAUGUUCACCUCAAAGACAUCCAAAUCCUAAUCCCCAAAUCUGUGUUAGGUUACAGGGCAAACGGUAAUUAAGUUUACAGAUGGUAAUUAAGAUGGUUUACCAGCUGACCUUAAAAUAGGGCAAUUAUCCUGAAUUAUUUGGGAGAGACUAAUGUAAUCCCAUGGUUCCUUAUCAACAGAGGAGAGAGACAGGAGAUCAGAUAAGAACCAGAGAGAUGGCAGUGUAAGGACUUAGCCCAACCUCAAUGGCCCUGAUGAGAGAGGAUUGGGCCAAAAGCCAAGAAAUCCAAGUGGCCUCUAGAAUCUAGGAAAUGCAGAACAAAAAAAAAAAAGCAAAGGGGUGUUCUCCCCUAGAUCCUUCAGAAGAAACAGUCCUACCAACAUCUUAGCCAAGACAGCACCAUGUACACCUCCUGGGAGACAGCAAUGGCAGAGCAUCCACCUGAGAAGGUGCAUCCUGACCAUGUACAUACCCAAACUGCAGAUGUUGUCAAGAUCGACACCUGUGAGGGGGCAAAGCAAGCAGUACCAACUAGAAGGCUGUGAUGCCACUACAAAGACCU
rnacentral:lncRNA from 1 species